GAGUCACAGGCAGAUGCCAGCAGGACCCGGCCUGCCUCUUCCUCAGGGGAGGCCUGGACGAGGCUUCUGGGUCAGGACGUGACCCUGGAUGGGGCACCAGGCAGCUGCAGUAAGAGAAGAAGAAAGACGUGCUCUCCUCUCUCAUGCCCAUGGCUUGAUGACAUUUUCUUCUAAACACUGAAGAUCCUCAGGUAGCUGGGAUUCUGUGGCUGCUCCGAAACCCCGGCACACGGGUCCAUUUUCCCAGGCCAGUGAGUCCUGGC
rnacentral:lncRNA from 1 species